rnacentral:rRNA from 1 species
UACGUAGGGACCGAGCGUUGUCCGGAAUCAUUGGGCGUAAAGAGCGUGUAGGCGGCCUGUUAAGUCUUGCGUGAAAUCUCGGGGCUCAACCCCGAGCGGUCGUGAGAAACUGGCAGGCUAGAGUGCGGGAGAGGAGAGUGGAAUUCCUGGUGUAGCGGUGAAAUGCGCAGAUAUCAGGAAGAACACCCGUGGCGAAGGCAGCUCGCUGGGACGUUACUGACACUGAGGCGCGAAAGCGUGGGGAGCGAACAGG